UACGUAGGGUGCGAGCGUUGUCCGGAAUUACUGGGCGUAAGAGCUCGUAGGUGGUUUGUCGCGUUGUUCGUGAAAACCUGAGGCUUAACCUUGGGCGUGCGGGCGAUACGGGCAGACUGGAGUACUGCAGGGGAGACUGGAAUUCCUGGUGUAGCGGUGAAAUGCGCAGAUAUCUGGAGGAACACCGGUGGCGAAGGCGGCAUCCUGGACCAACACUGACGCUGAGGAGCGAAAGCCAGGGGAAGCAAAGCGGG
rnacentral:rRNA from 1 species